rnacentral:rRNA from 1 species
AGCGGGAAAAGCUCAAAUUUAAAAUCUGGCAGUCUCUGGCUGUCCGAGUUGUAAUCUAGAGAAGUGUUAUCCGUGCUGAACCGUGUAUAAGUCUCCUGGAAUGGAGCGUCAUAGAGGGUGAGAAUCCCGUCUUGGACACGGACAACCAGUACAUUGUGAUGCGCUCUCAAAGAGUCGAGUUGUUUGGGAAUGCAGCUCUAAAUGGGUGGUAAAUUCCAUCUAAAGCUAAAUAUUGGCGAGAGACCGAUAGCGAACAAGUACCGUGAGGGAAAGAUGAAAAGAACUUUGGAAAGAGAGUUAAACAGUACGUGAAAUUGUUGAAAGGGAAACGCUUGAAGUCAGUCACAUUGGCCAGGGAUCAACCUAGCUCAUUUGCUUGGUGUACUUCCUGGUUAAUGGGUCAGCAUCAAUUUUGAUCAUUGGAAAAAGGUAUAGGGAAUGUGGCAUCUCCGGAUGUGUUAUAGCCCUAUAUUGUAUACAGUGAUUGGGAUUGAGGA